AAGGGAAGAGGAGUAAGGGAGGGGAGGGGAAAAAAAGAAGACUGUUUACUGGCUUGAAAACACUUCAAACACCCGACGUGAUACACGGCACAACAAAACACAGAGCAAAAAAAUCCAUUUGCAUCUGCAAAAAUCAAGGCAGUGAAGCCUGAUGGGAGUGCAUGUCAAAAUGUUAUUAGAGAUGAAGUCAUUGCAAUCUCAAGCAGUUCUGCUAUGGAAGCUUCAAAUAAGCUCUAAGUGCUGUUGACUCUACAAGGGCCAGAUCCAAUUCCAACUUAAAAGAGAAGCAUCUAGUCACUGAGGCUUUCUGCUGGGGAUGUUUGCUCCUGCAUGGUCAGGCUUAAUAUCGUGAAGUCCAGACAGAAGACUACUGUAUUUAUGCAGCUGAUGUCGAGCUGCCUCUUGAAGACUGACUAUUAAAUUGGAAGAGCUGCAUUUGUUAUAGAGAAGUAGUGAUCUUGAGAGGUUUAAUGAUUUUUAUUUCCAAAAGAUUUCAUUACACACCUCCCAGGGCAAGCGAGCGGUACUCAACCUUUGGACUGAAUUCGGUGCUGGGGGAGCAGGUGCAACUUCUCCAGCAUUGGAUCGAGUUUCAUCCACCUACUGCAAGCCUCAGUUUAAUCCUAGUUACGACUUUGCUGAUAAUCAGAAUAUACUGCAACAGGAGCACUGUGGCUUGAAGCAGGGAACCAGCGUCCUGCCCGUGACCUAAUAGUUCAGAAAGCCACCCGCUUCCAGACUGACUCACAAUCACAGGAAGGUUUUGCUGCUGCAAUGAAGCUGUUCCAUUCUCAGCUGUCCACCCCAUCUCUCGGCUCGAGGCUGCCUCAUUCCCAAAGCUGCACAGUCAUUCCUUCAACUCCUCAGCUUACACCCCAGUAGGAUAUUGUGAAAUGAAAUUGGUAGCCAGCAGAAUCAAAUAACAUGCUAUGACCCGUGGAACGAAUAUACAUCUGUUCAUCUGCUCCUGCUCUUGAGAAAGAGCUGCUUGCUGAGGUGUGGCUAAGAGAUGAGGAUGGUAAUCGUUUCAGUUGCUGCAGUGAAAUCUACCUGCAGCUGUGAAUCAGAACCAUUUGUCUUGAACUUCAUUCUGUCUCAAGAAAGAAGCUGCCCAUGAAUUAAUCAGUUGUUUCAGCUCUUUAGGAUUCACACACUCCCUGGAUUUUAUGUCUCUUCACCUCUUCUAAACUGGCUGGAAAUGUCUUAAUAUGGGUGUGGAAACCCAAAGGCAGGUAAACCAGCUAAAAUCAGUCUCUAAAGAUGUUCUCCCACAAUAUCCCCAUAUGGUGGAUUAAUUAGUAUAACUCAGCUAAAAGAAUACCGAGUUCACAGAAUCACAGAACGGUUGAGGUUGGAAGGGACCUCUGGAGA